GCCUGUCUGGCUCGUGCGUUCCUCAGCCCGGCGCUGGUUUUGGCAGCCUGGCUCUCGGCAGGGGACAGGAGCUGCCUGUCCUUGGAGCCAGCGGCUGUCUGGCAAGUUGGUGUCUGCCUGUCCGGGCUGCUCCUGUCCGGGGAGGCUGUCCGUGUCCUGGAGCAGCUCCUGAGCUACAGACUGCCCUGCUCAUCCCAUGCUGGCACUGGGAACCUGCAGCAGCACUGAGGCUCACCGUAACACCCCCCAGCACCAGGGCUCAGCAGGUCCCUGGCAGUGCCGGAUCCGGCAGCAAUGGGUGCAUUGGAUCCGACAGCAAUGGGCGCACUGGAUCCGGCACGAUGGGUGCACUGGAUCCCGCCGGGAUCACCCGGAUCCCCCCAGGCACUGGGUGCCCUCCGGAGACCUGGGCCCUGAUUAACUACUCUGCAUGAUCACCGGCACGCUGUGAAGGGCCAGGCUGCGAUUGGCUGCCUGCAGAUAAUCCUCCUGGAAGCUGGGCUACGAUUGGCUGCCGGAGCAUCCCCACCCACCCAAGCAGAGCUGUGACUGGCUGUGCUGUGAC